rnacentral:rRNA from 1 species
CCCCUAGAUGUUCUGGGCCGCACGCGCGCUACACUGAACAGUUCAACAAGUCUUAACCUUGGCCGAUAGGUCUGGGUAAUCUUUGAACGCUGUUCGUGAUUGGGAUAGACCUUUGCAAUUAUGGGUCUUCAACGAGGAAUUCCUAGUAAACGCAAGUCAUCAGCUUGCAUUGAUUACGUCCCUGCCCUUUGUACACACCGCCCGUUGCACCUACCGAUUGAAUGGUCCGGUGAAAUCUCGGGACGGCGGCUUGGUCGCUUGCGUCCGACUGCUGAAACUUGAUUAAACCAUAUCAUUUAGAGGAAGGUGAANUCGUAACA